UACGUAGGGUGCGAGCGUUGUCCGGAAUUAUUGGGCGUAAAGGGCUCGUAGGCGGUCUGUUACGUCGGGAGUGAAAACUCGGGGCUCAACCCCCGAGCCUGCUUCCGAUACGGGCAGACUAGAGGUAUGCAGGGGAGAAUGGAAUUCCUGGUGUAGCGGUGAAAUGCGCAGAUAUCAGGAGGAACACCGGUGGCGAAGGCGGUUCUCUGGGCAUUACCUGACGCUGAGGAGCGAAAGUGUGGGGAGCGAACAGG
rnacentral:rRNA from 1 species